rfam:Tropilaelaps mercedesae isolate Wuxi-XJTLT scaffold0000027303, whole genome shotgun sequence.
NCCAUCGGCCAAACCACUUUGAAUACCUCGGUUCUCGUCCGAUCAUCGAAGCUUAACAACGGUAGGCACGCGAGGUACUUGGAAGGAAGACUGCGUGCCAACACCGGGUGUUGAUGGCA